AACUUUCAGCAAUGGAUCUCUAGGCUCUUGCAUCGAUGAAGCACGCAGUGAAAUGCGAUAAGUAAUGUGAAUUGCAGAAUCUCGUGAAUCAUCGAAUCUUUGAACGCACAUUGCGCCCUAUGGUAUUCCGUAGGGCAUGCCUGUCUGAGCGUUAGUUCCCCACACACUCAAGUAUCCUUUAUUUGGGAUUCUUGGAAUGAUUUGGAGAGGUGUCUCGUCAUAGAGAUGCCUUCCAGAAAUUCAUAGGCAGUAUGGUUUGCACCGGAACCAGACGUAAUAAUAAUAAAAUCGUUUGUUUGGGAAUAAUUGUGCUUGCCUUAACCCACCCAUUUCUCUCAUUUGGGUGACCUCAGAUCAGGUAGGGAUACCCGCUGAACUUAAGCAUAUCAAUAAGCGGAGGCU
rnacentral:misc_RNA from 1 species